rnacentral:tRNA from 1 species
GCGGACGUGGCGGAAUUGGUAGACGCGCUAGAUUUAGGCUCUAGUGACCUAGUCGUGUGAGUUCGAGUCUCACCGUCCGCA